rnacentral:pre_miRNA from 1 species
AGUUUUGGUUUCUGGAAGCAAAGUUCUGUGACACUCGGACUCUGAUUAUAAUAGAAGUCAGUGCACUACAGAACUUUGUCUCCAGGGGCUGCAGCAG